UUGCAACUGCUUUAAUUUAUUUACUGAUCCUAAAAAGGACAGUAGGUACUCAAAUAAUUUCUAGUAGGAUACCAAAACCCAGCUCGCUUGGGCAUGUCUGAAACCCUGAACAGUUCAGCUGCCCGAGAGCUCCCAGGGGGCUUUCACACACACAAAAUC